UGGGUAAAUUGUGUUCUAGAAUAGGAUGUGACCUACGGGAUAAUUAACUGAUAAAAAAAAAAAAUGUAGUUAAUAAACAGAACAAAUGAGAAACUGUUUGUUAACCAAACCUGUAUGUCCAAGAUUUUAUGCACUACAGGUGAACUACAGGUGAAGUCACUCAAUCCAGUCCCAUAGGCUUGUUGGGGGGACCAUACCAAGGACUUCUGGUGACAGCUAGCUGAAAGAGCUACCCGGAUUCAUAUCGCACUGCGGGAGGUUAUUAUUUCCAGGACCCUGGAGUAAUCUAUGACAAUAGAUGAUGCGGUGUGGGACGAUUCCAGGUUCUGACCCGUGGAGGACUGAAUGCCUGACUACAGGACAAGUGGACAAAUCUGGAUCUUUCAUCAUUGGGGAAUUUAUGUUUGAUGAGACUAGUGUUGAGGAUAGAAUUAGAUUGUACUUUGUUUCAAUAUUAGACUGUUUUUUAAUAAAGAUUGUAACGAAAAUCCUGAAAGAAGGGUUAUGAUUCUGAUGUAGGUUUAAAAACAGUUGGAGUUAAGGUUAGUUUGAUUAAUGAUGGGUGAACAGUCGGAUAAACAUUUAUAAUAAUGUUGGUUAUGUGUCUAUUGAUAUGAUAAUCUGAUAAACCUUUAUAAUAAGGUUAGUUAUUAGUAGGUUAAUAUUUUUAUUUUUUAUGUUUAAUAAAACUAGAUGUAGAAUUGAAUGUAUAAUAUUUAAUCAAAGGGAGGAUUGUUGGAGGAAAUUAUAGUUGAAAUGAUUAAUAAUGUAUACAUUUCAAUUAGAACCAUUUAUUCUAAUACUAUUAUGUUAUGGUAUGAAAUGUAUGGGUUCUUGGUUAAGCUGUUACUGAAAAUGUAAGUAAAACAAAUUAAUUGUCUGUACCUUGCGGGAGGUUUAAGGGAGAGGGAUGAUAUAUCUUUUCUGACAGAUAAGAAUGGUCCUUGAUAUUCCAGUAGUGGAGGAGAAGAUAUCUUUUAGACAGAUUGGAAUGUUUGGUUUAUGAGGGGAGUAGAAGAAAUCUCCAGACCUGAAAACACUGCGCUAUUGUGUGGAUCGGAGAGAGUGUGAGAAACUGAUAAUGUCAUUUUAUGUUCUCUCUUUAAAAUGUAAGGUUCUUUGUAUUUUUGGUUAGUACUCUCUUAAAUUAAACGCUGUUACCUGGC